AGGCUUGAAUGGUUCUCUGUGUCCUGCUCUGAGAUCUGCUGUCGGGUGCAUUGAGGGGACCUCAGGAAGUUCUGAGAUUUAGACAUGGAUGCAGUGACUUUUGACGAUGUGCAUGUGAGUUUCACUAAAGAAGAAUGGAAUUUGAUGGAUCCUUCCCAGAUGAAUCUCUACAAAGAUGUUAUGUUGGAGACCUACUGGAACCUUACUUCUAUAGGUAAGACU
rnacentral:lncRNA from 1 species